UAGGGAAUCUUCCACAAUGGACGAAAGUCUGAUGGAGCAACGCCGCGUGUGUGAUGAAGGGUUUCGGCUCGUAAAACACUGUUGUAAGAGAAGAAUGACAUUGAGAGUAACUGUUCAAUGUGUGACGGUAUCUUACCAGAAAGGACGGCUAAAUACGUGCAAG
rnacentral:rRNA from 1 species